rnacentral:tRNA from 1 species
GUUUCCGUAGUGUAGUGGUUAUCACGCUCGCCUAACACGCGAGAGGUCCCCGGUUCGAAACCGGGCAGAAACA